CAGACCUCAACCCUAUUGUCCCUCUGCAAAUUUGUGUACACAGAGUCAAUCCCUUACCUCUCUCUAAAUGUGCACAGUUUCAAAACAUUCAAUGAAUAGAAGAUUGCUGGGGGCGGAAUAGAUCUGGACAAGGAGAAGUCUGGAGAUAAAUGUGAGAAGGGAGGGACAGGCAGUAGAAACAAAAGUGAAACUGUUUGAGCAGCAUAUUCCAGAAGUCUUGAGGUCUUUCUGAGUUUAGACUUCAUUGAUUUGAGAUCUACCAUACCAUUCUCUCACUAAAAGGGAAAACCUUUUAGCAGCAGGCAGCAGGCCGUAAAAGAGACCUAGUUUGGGAAUAUUUUAAUGAAGUUCCUCUACCUGCGGGUAAGUCAGGCAUGCAUGCAAAACGCAAACAGUGCAGCAAAGAAAUGCAAGGCCUGGUUGCCUGAAUGAAACAUCAUCAUGAGAAGUGUUCCUUCUCAGGAGGAAACUGCAUUAAAAAUGAUGAAAGGAACAUAUCUGAACAUGCACAUCCAUAUCUUCAGAAGAAUCCAUCCUCAACAUACAGGAUUCUGAAGACUAUCCACAUUCAAGAUCACCAUCAUUUUCUAUAGUUUCAGAGUUAUCUGCCAAUGAUAGUGUUUCAGUCACAUCAUGUAUGUCACAUAGCCACAGUAUACCACCUGUAGCAAAAAAAUAAAAAUAAAUCUCCAUCAUCCAGAAACAACCAUAGCUGGCUAUUAUAGGAGUAUUUUCAUGUUUCAAAGAAAGUCCCCAUGUGAGCAAUGGAACAACCCUUGGAAACCUCCAAAGGCUGAGGUGAGAUGCCUGCUAGAUCCAAUGGCUUAGAACUGUAAACCCAGGAGCAGGAACUGAUUGAGAUAGAUAUCUUCAGAACAACUAUAAUUAUGAGAUUCUAAUUACCUCUCUGUUAGCUACCAACCGCGAAAUAGGAAGGCUUCAAAAUUCCAUACAGUUUAGAAAUGGUCAUCCAACCUCUUUAGCAAUGGUAAUGACUUGUACAGAGUAUGAAAGAAACAUAACAGGUCUUUAGGAGAGCCAAAGAAAAAAAGCAAAACAAGUUAUUCACAAGUUAAAAACAAAAAACAAAAAACUGAUGACUACCUACACCACAGGACGUAUCAUUAUUUAAGAUCAGGAAAAUGAAAGCUGAAAUGAAUUAUAAAGAAAAGUUAAACCAUUAAUGAACAGAGAGUAUGAUAAGACUAAGUUAUUCACUAUCUUAUGUGAUUUGUGAACUUAUUUCAGUAAGUCUUAUUAUUGAUAUAAGAUGUGCUAAAAAGACAGUCUCCUUCUGCAUUACUCUGUAUUGCUGCAUAAACACUGCAUUCAUGUUUUUCCUAAAGUCUAACCUGUUUCUCCACAAUGUUCAUGAAGUAGGAAGGGGUGCAGGAGGACAAAUCACACGGUCUCUCUCCAGAAGGGACCUUCUGGAUGGAAGAGGAGGAAUGUGGUAGUCCCUUAUUCCUUCUGGAAUUCACCACUGAUGUGGAACUUAAUCGGCCCUGCUGUUUCAUCAAAUCUUCAGGCUUCUGAUCACCACCAAGGACAACUGGACCCUAGGGAGAGAAAAUGACACUGGAUUCAUCAUCUGCACAGAGUUUUGGAAACUGCAGUAUAAAGAAUUAAAGCAUCCUCAAGAAAUAACCACCAGGGGAGUGAAACACUAAAGAAGCAGUGAGAAAACUAACUAUAGAAUGUAAAUAAUACGCAAACUCUGAAGCAGUUACGAUUGUCUCUCCUUCAACAAACCCACAAAAACAAGGAAAUGAAAAGUAAGCCACUCAACAGUACAAAGCCUCUACACCUCCACCCACAAGCAAACAUCUUACCAUUACCAGAACAUACAUCAAAAACUGCAGGCCCCAGUCUUUACUCUGCCUUCCACUUCCACUAUUCUGACACACCCUUUACUCCUGGGGAAACUGUGCACCAAAAUAUUAAAAAUUCUGUGCACAAUAUUUUAAAAUUAUGCAUAUUUUAUUUGUAAAAACAACUAUAUAAUUACACCAGUUUCAAUUAUUUUGGUAAUUUAUUUCAAAAUACCAGUCAGCAAGUAUGUCUAACAAUACAGACACCAAAAAAGAUUCAGGAAAUGUUUUUUGUCAAACAGAUUCCUUAUUAGACAUAUUAAUACUGAGUAAUAAUUAAUUUAAAACAACAAUACCAAAAUGUAUUUCCCACACCCCUCAGAAGCAGUGCAAAGGCUUGGGGGAGUUUUCAAAAUCCCUCUUGCAAACUUCCUUGAACCUUAGCCCAGGUUGGCUCAGUGGCCUUGGAGCAUCCUCAGGCUCUCCAUACAGGAGAACAUAAGAACGGCCAUACUGGGUCAGACCAAAGGUCCAUCUAGCCCAGUAUCUUGUCUUCCGACAGUGGCCAAUGACAGGUGCUUCAGAGAGAAUAAACAGAGCAGGUAAUCAUCAACUGAUACAUCCCCUGUCACCCAUUCCCAGCUUCUGGCAAACAGAGGCUAUGGACACUAUCCCUGCCCAUCCUGGCUAAUAGCCAUAGAUGGACCUAUCUUCCAUUAAUUUAUCUAGCUCUUUUUUGAACCCUAUUAUAGUCUUGGCCUUCACAACAUCCUCUGGCAAAGAGUUCCAUAGGUUGACUGUGCGUUGUGUGAAGAAAUACUUCCUUUUGUUUGUUUUAAACCAGCUGCCUACUAAUUUCAUUUGAUGACCCCUAAUUCUUGUAUAAUGAGAAGGAGUAAAUAAUACUACUUUAUUUCGUUUCUCCACACCUAUCAUGAUUUUAUAGACCUCUAACAUAUCCCCACUUAGUUGUCUCUUUUCCAAGCUGAAAAGUCCCAGACUUAUUAAUCUUUCUUCACAUGGAAGCUGUUCCAUACCCCUAAUCAUUUUUGUUGCCGUUUUCUGUACCUUUUCCAAUUCCAAUAUAUCUCCUUUUGAGAUGGGGUGACUACAUCUACACGCAAUAUUCAAGAUGUGGGUGGUACCAAAGAUUUAUAUAGAGGCAAUAUGAUAGGUCCUUUGGAAUGCACCUGGUACAGAUGACCAAGGCAAUGAAGAUGCCUGUGGAGCAGUCUUCCUGGCUUAAGGACCUAUUGCUUUCUUGAUGCCAUCAUACGUAUCUCUUAGACCUCCAUUCUCAAGGACAUUUCACAGAAUCAUAGAAGAUUAGGGUUGGAAGAAAUUUCAGGAGGUCAUAUAGUCCACCCUCCUGCGCAAAGCAGAUUUGUAUCUUCUUGCACAAAUAGGGCCAUGUGUGAUUAAGCACAUUGCUUUGUACUGGUUGCAAUGUGCCCUUGGCCAAUCUGAGGUUAAUACAUGCAUCAGGAGAGGGGUUCAUGUUGUGCUGGAGGAAUGCUGUGCAUUUUGCCUCCAUGACUAGGAGCAUUUCUUCAGAAUAUGCCAAUCUUUAUCUUGUACCAUCUUUUUAUCAAAGGCUAAAGUUGAAGCUGUAUAGAUAUGUCUUCCAAGUGUAUUCCAUGCUGCAUCAGCAUUCAGGGAGGUAUAAACAGAGGACAUAUCUUCCCUGAGAUAUGUAAUACAUUGGCAACACUUUCACAUCAGCAACACAAAAGACCAAGGAAUGUGUAGGCAACAGCUUUCUUUAGUAUGAUGGAAUUUCCAUAGUGAAAAUCUUGUUUUGCAGCAUACAAAUGCAUAGUCUAUGUAAGGCCUGGUCUACACUACGGGGUUAGGUCAACUUUAGCCACGUUUGUCGAUUUAAAAAUGACUGUGUCCACACAACCAACCCCAUUCCGUCAACCUAAAGGGCUCUUAAAAUCGACUUCUGUACUCUUCCCCGACGAGGGGAGUAGCACUAAAAUCUACCUUGCUGGGUCGAAUUUGGGGUAGUGCAGACACAAAUUGACAGUAUUGGCCUCCAGGAGCUAUCCCAGAGUGCUCCAUUGUGACCGCUCUGGACAGCACUUUGAACUCCGAUGCACUAGACAGGUACACAGAAAAAGCCCCGGGAACUUUUGAAUUUCAUUUCCUGUUUGAUCAGCAUGGCAAACUCAGCAGCACAGGUGACCAUGCAGUCCCCCCAGAAUCGUAGAGCAUAGAAUGUUUCUACGCUCCCCCUAUCAUCUCCAUCCCUGAGGUUAUCGCAGAUUAGAAGGCGAAAAAAACCCACUCGCGAUGACAUGUUUUCCGAGCUCAUGCUGUCCUCCCGCACUGAUAGGGCACAGCUUAAUGCAUGGAGGCAUUCAGUGGCAGAGGCCAGGGAAGAAUUAAGUGACUGAGAAGAGCGGAGGCAGGACGCGAUGCUGAAGCUAAUGGGAGAGCAAACGGACAUGAUGAAGCGUCUGUUGGGGGAGCAAAUGACAUGAUGAAGCAUCUGCUGGAGCUGCAGGAAAGCCAACAAGAGCACAGAUCCCAGCUGCAUUCAUUGUAUAACCGCCUACACUCCUCCCCAUGUUCCAUAGCCUCCUCAUCCAGACGCCCAAGAAAGCAGAGGGGGAGGCUCCAGGCACCCAGCCACUCCACUCCAGAGGAUGGCCCAAGCAACAGAAGGCUGUCAUUCAAACAGUUUGAUUUUUAGUGUGGCUACAAUAAGCAAUGUGGCCUUGUCCUUCCCUCCUCCCCCAUGCCACCUGGGCUACC